AAUCCAUGGUGUGGGCAUAUUUGAAUUAGCAUUUUAACACGCUCCCAAGCUUCAUAAAAAUUUUCUCCUUUUAAUUGUUUAAAAGUCACAAUCUCCCUCCUUAGUUA
rnacentral:snoRNA from 1 species